rnacentral:rRNA from 1 species
GGGUUGUGAGGUUAAGCGACUAAGCGUACACGGUGGAUGCCCUGGCAGUCAGAGGCGAUGAAGGACGUGCUAAUCUGCGAAAAGCGUCGGUAAGGUGAUAUGAACCGUUAUAACCGGCGAUGUCCGAAUGGGGAAACCCAGUGUGAUUCGUCACACUAUCGUUAACUGAAUACAUAGGUUAACGAGGCGAACCGGGGGAACUGAAACAUCUAAGUACCCCGAGGAAAAGAAAUCAACCGAGAUUCCCCCAGUAGCGGCGAGCGAACGGGGAGCAGCCCAGAGUCUGAAUCAGCUUGUGUGUUAGUGGAACGGUCUGGAAAGUCCGACGGUACAGGGUGAUAGUCCCGUACACCAAAAUGCACAGGCUGUGAACUCGAAGAGUAGGGCGGGACACGUGGUAUCCUGUCUGAAUAUGGGGGGACCAUCCUCCAAGGCUAAAUACUCCUGACUGACCGAUAGUGAACCAGUACCGUGAGGGAAAGGCGAAAAGAACCCCGGCGAGGGGAGUGAAAAAGAACCUGAAACCGUGUACGUACAAGCAGUGGGAGCACCUUCGGGUGUGACUGCGUACCUUUUGUAUAAUGGGUCAGCGACUUAUAUUCUGUAGCAAGGUUAACCGUAUAGGGGAGCCGCAGGGAAACCGAGUCUUAACUGGGCGUUAAGUUGCAGGGUAUAGACCCGAAACCCGGUGAUCUAGCCAUGGGCAGGUUGAAGGUUGGGUAACACUAACUGGAGGACCGAACCGACUAAUGUUGAAAAAUUAGCGGAUGACUUGUGGCUGGGGGUGAAAGGCCAAUCAAACCGGGAGAUAGCUGGUUCUCCCCGAAAGCUAUUUAGGUAGCGCCUCGUGAAUUCAUCUUCGGGGGUAGAGCACUGUUUCGGCUAGGGGGUCAUCCCGACUUACCAACCCGAUGCAAACUACGAAUACCGAAGAAUGUUAUCACGGGAGACACACGGCGGGUGCUAACGUCCGUCGUGAAGAGGGAAACAACCCAGACCGCCAGCUAAGGUCCCAAAGUCAUGGUUAAGUGGGAAACGAUGUGGGAAGGCACAGACAGCCAGGAUGUUGGCUUAGAAGCAGCCAUCAUUUAAAGAAAGCGUAAUAGCUCACUGGUCGAGUCGGCCUGCGCGGAAGAUGUAACGGGGCUAAACCAUGCACCGAAGCUGCGGCAGCGACACUAUGUGUUGUUGGGUAGGGGAGCGUUCUGUAAGCCUGCGAAGGUGUGCUGUGAGGCAUGCUGGAGGUAUCAGAAGUGCGAAUGCUGACAUAAGUAACGAUAAAGCGGGUGAAAAGCCCGCUCGCCGGAAGACCAAGGGUUCCUGUCCAACGUUAAUCGGGGCAGGGUGAGUCGACCCCUAAGGCGAGGCCGAAAGGCGUAGUCGAUGGGAAACAGGUUAAUAUUCCUGUACUUGGUGUUACUGCGAAGGGGGGACGGAGAAGGCUAUGUUAGCCGGGCGACGGUUGUCCCGGUUUAAGCAUGUAGGCUGGUUAUCCAGGCAAAUCCGGAUAAUCAAGGCUGAGGUGUGAUGACGAGGCACUACGGUGCUGAAGUAACAAAUGCCCUGCUUCCAGGAAAAGCCUCUAAGCAUCAGGUAACAUUAAAUCGUACCCCAAACCGACACAGGUGGUCAGGUAGAGAAUACCAAGGCGCUUGAGAGAACUCGGGUGAAGGAACUAGGCAAAAUGGUGCCGUAACUUCGGGAGAAGGCACGCUGGUGUGUAGGUGAAGCCCCUGCGGGUGGAGCUGAGACCAGUCGAAGAUACCAGCUGGCUGCAACUGUUUAUUAAAAACACAGCACUGUGCAAACACGAAAGUGGACGUAUACGGUGUGACGCCUGCCCGGUGCCGGAAGGUUAAUUGAUGGGGUUAUCCGUAAGGAGAAGCUCUUGAUCGAAGCCCCGGUAAACGGCGGCCGUAACUAUAACGGUCCUAAGGUAGCGAAAUUCCUUGUCGGGUAAGUUCCGACCUGCACGAAUGGCGUAAUGAUGGCCAGGCUGUCUCCACCCGAGACUCAGUGAAAUUGAACUCGCUGUGAAGAUGCAGUGUACCCGCGGCAAGACGGAAAGACCCCGUGAACCUUUACUAUAGCUUGACACUGAACAUUGAGCCUUGAUGUGUAGGAUAGGUGGGAGGCUUUGAAGCGUGGACGCCAGUCUGCGUGGAGCCAACCUUGAAAUACCACCCUUUAAUGUUUGAUGUUCUAACGUUGGCCCCUUACCGGGGUUGCGGACAGUGUCUGGUGGGUAGUUUGACUGGGGCGGUCUCCUCCCAAAGCGUAACGGAGGAGCACGAAGGUUAGCUAAUCCUGGUCGGACAUCAGGAGGUUAGUGCAAUGGCAUAAGCUAGCUUGACUGCGAGCGUGACGGCGCGAGCAGGUGCGAAAGCAGGUCAUAGUGAUCCGGUGGUUCUGAAUGGAAGGGCCAUCGCUCAACGGAUAAAAGGUACUCCGGGGAUAACAGGCUGAUACCGCCCAAGAGUUCAUAUCGACGGCGGUGUUUGGCACCUCGAUGUCGGCUCAUCACAUCCUGGGGCUGAAGUAGGUCCCAAGGGUAUGGCUGUUCGCCAUUUAAAGUGGUACGCGAGCUGGGUUUAGAACGUCGUGAGACAGUUCGGUCCCUAUCUGCCGUGGGCGCUGGAGAAUUGAGGGGGGCUGCUCCUAGUACGAGAGGACCGGAGUGGACGCAUCACUGGUGUUCGGGUUGUCAUGCCAAUGGCACUGCCCGGUAGCUAAAUGCGGAAGAGAUAAGUGCUGAAAGCAUCUAAGCACGAAACUUGCCCCGAGAUGAGUUCUCCCUGAGACUUUAAGUCUCCUGAAGGAACGUUGAAGACGACGACGUUGAUAGGCCGGGUGUGUAAGCGCAGCGAUGCGUUGAGCUAACCGGUACUAAUGAACCGUGAGGCUUAACCUUACAACGCCGAAG